rnacentral:lncRNA from 1 species
GACAUUUUUCUGUUUUUGCGUCCAGGUUCAUUUGAGGCCCUGACAGAGCAUUUGGACAUUGAAAGGGAUAUCCAGAAUUGUCAAAUUGGUAUCAUUUGAUCAUUUCUGCCAUUUGUCCUGAUUUGUCUAUCGUAUUAUCAUUGGACCAUACCAAACAGUUCGCCCGGGUCAAUCAUGCACUGGUCAUCGAGUCGUAACAAUUGAACUACAUAUCGUUACAAUCUCGAUACAGUUCAGAGACAACUUAGCUUUUCAGGCUAUUUUCGAAAGAUUCCUCAGGUUUCCGGGCAGACUGUAACAGAUUCAUCACUACAACAAGAACAUAGCGGAACCAAGCCAUUUCAGCACAAGCAGAGAUAUAUGCUCCCAUCAGUAUUAUCACUGUGAAUUACAGAAUGGCAACCAGUACAAGAUGGGUUCAGAACAUUGCCAGAAACAUCGAACAGAAUCGACUCCCUUAACAGUGGCUUACAUUUUUUGAUGCUUUCUGCCAUUUGUCCUGAUUUGUCCAUCGUAUUAUCAUUGGACCAUACCAAACAGUUCGCCCGGGUCAAUCAUGCACUGGUCAUCGAGUCGUAACAAUUGAACUACAUACCGUUACAAUCUCAAUACAGUUCAGAGACAACUUAGCCAUUCAGGCUAUUUUCGAAAGAUUCCUCAGGUUUCCGGGCAGACUGUAACAGAUUCAUCACUACAACAAGAACAUAGCGGAACCAAGCCAUUUCAGCACAAGCAGAGAUAUAUGCUCCCAUCAGUAUUAUCACUGUGAAUUACAGAAUGGCAACCAGUACAAGAAGGGUUCAGAACAUUGCCAGAAAUAUCUAACAGAAUCGACUCCCAUAACAGUGGCUUACAUUUUUUGCUACUUUCUACCGAAUAUGGGAAUCGAAUCACAUAGAUGUCUGAUUAGAAUUCCGAACCCUGAAACACUCUUGUCGUUCUUUGUGUCGUAUUUGCAUAUCUCCGUCGAAGACCCUAUCUACCCCCUCUGCUUCAAAACUGAGCUACAGGCAUCACUCCACAUAACAGAAACAUAAAAGCCGUGUAUAUCCCCCUUCCAGAUUACACUCUCCCUAUAUCAAGACUUUGUUCCUGUUAACAACAAGAAUGUGUUCUGUAUUACUUUGCAUGAUAUCAAAAAGAGUACAUGUCGAAUGCUAGUUCAAUCAAGAAGCCACACAGUCGAUAGAACUAAUAUGAUUGAUUCAGAAAAUCCAUCUAAGAUUAGUUCCACGAACA